AUCAAUUAAGCUUAAUAUAGCAUUUCACUUACACUGAAAAUAAUCUCAAAUAAUAUUAAUAUAUU
rnacentral:tRNA from 1 species